UACGUAGGUGGCAAGCGUUGUCCGGAUUUAUUGGGUUUAAAGGGUGCGUAGGCGGUCUUAUAAGUCAGUGCUGAAAUAUCCCGGCUUAACCGGGAGGGUGGCAUUGAUACUGUAGGACUUGAGUAAAGUUGAGGUUGGCGGAAUUGACGGUGUAGCGGUGAAAUGCUUAGAUAUAGUCAAGAACACCUAUUGCGAAGGCAGCUAACUAAGCUUUAACUGACGCUGAGGCACGAAAGUGUGGGGAUCAAACAGG
rnacentral:rRNA from 1 species